ensembl:snRNA U6 U6 spliceosomal RNA
GUGCUCGCUUUAGCAUCACAUGUUCUAGAACUAGACCGGUACAGAGAGUAGCCUGGCUCCUGAGCAAGGAUGACACGCAAAUUUGUGAAUCAUUCUGUAGUUUU